AGUAAUUUGUUUAAAACAUAUGAUUGAAUCUCCGAGGCAUCAUAGUUUUAAAACGCAUACAAAAAUAGCUAUAUUUAGAGUAUAAAAGCUUGCCUGGUCUUACUCUUGUUACAAAUUUGACUAAUUUUCCUCCUGGAUAAAUUCUGUCGAAAACAUCUAAAGGUAAUUCGUCAUGAAAACCGCAUUAGUGCUCGUCAUUUUAAUAGCUGCUGCUAUAGCACAACCUCUGGGCUACCUUGGUUCACAUGGUUAUCUCGGAGUUUUAGGGGGUGGAGGUUUACAUGGAGGUUUCCACGGCGGUUUUCAUGGAGGUUUCCACGGAGGUUUUCAUGGAGGUUUUCCUGGAUUUGGAAUAUAUGGUGGUGACUUUGAGGGUGAAUACGAAGGCGGAGAAUAUGAAGGUGGCUAUGACUUUUAGGGUGACAUUGACCGUGGUGACUUUGCCGAUAUGUAAGAGCGACGGACAGCACGGAAUACCUCGUCUUCCCAUCCUUCACGAGUUCAUCAUUAAUUUAUGCGUCCAAUUGUUCUGAUAUUUGUAUCGCACCUUGCCAGGUUUUAUAUGUUAUUUAUUAUCAUCAAACCUGCGAAAGAACUUAGUCAAACGCCUUUUUGUAGUCCACGAAGACACAUUAUAGUUUUCGAAGAGCUAAGUAUCCGAAUACGAUGAACGCCUUCAUCACUCCAAGUGUGUAUUCAGUUAUUAUAAGAGUAAGUCUUGCAAAUGUGUUUCUCAGAUUGUUUUGAAUUCAUUGCGUAAAAGGUGUGAGUAGUUGCAUGUAUUGUAUAAUGCCCAGUUUACACAUUUGAAUAGCUAAGAAGCAUUCAAAUCUUAUAAGCAAAUAUACUCGUAGCAAACUUUAUUAUAUUUGUAUAGAUUAUAUACACGUUUGAUACAAUUAUACGUGAACCUGUUAAGACAAUGUAAUUCAUGUUGUGUAUGAGCAAUUAUUUCAUUAAAAUAUUUUUAAUAA
rnacentral:lncRNA from 1 species